rnacentral:rRNA from 1 species
UGGCGGACGGGUGAGUAACGCGUGGGCAACCUGCCCUGUACCGGGGGAGUAACAGCCGGAAACGGCUGCUAAUACCGCAUAAGCGCACGAGAGCGCAUGCUUUUGUGUGAAAAACUCCGGUGGUACGGGAUGGGCCCGCGUCUGAUUAGCUUGUUGGCGGGGUAGAAGCCCACCAAGGCGACGAUCAGUAGCCGACCUGAGAGGGUGACCGGCCACAUUGGGACUGAGACACGGCCCAAACUCCUACGGGAGGCAGCAG